UGGGGUAUAGGCUUGGAUGUGGAGGUCAUGUACCACACAAGGCAAAUAUCCACGUGAAUGUAUGUCUUGUAUUAGGCUUUGUGCUACCUAGUGUAGCUAGCCGAAGGUUCUUUCGUAAGAGAGAACUGAUGUUUAAUUGAAUCCCUUUUAUAUUAAAUAACCUGACAUCAAUAUUGCAGAUAGAAAUAUAUGCAUGUAAUUGAAAUACAACUUUCAACAGUGGAUGUCUAGGCUCGCACAUCGAUGAAGAACGCUGCGAACUGCGAUACGUAAUGCGAAUUGCAGAAUUCAGUGAGUCAUCAAAAUUUUGAACGCAUAUUGCACUUUCGGGUUAGUCCUGGGAGUAUGUUUGUAUCAGUGUCCGUUUCAAACCAAUUGUUUCAUGUAUUUGAAGCAGAAUGUGAAGUGUCUUGUUCUUUUGAACAAGUCCUUUUAAAUGAAACGUACCUAUAUACAACGUAAGAAGCAUACCAAUAUAAAGGUGUGUAUCAUUUGAAUUUCAAUAUUGUUUUGUAUGAAUAUACAUGACGUUGAAAGUAAAAUGAAUUGCGGUAGUUUUGCUUGUACUUGUACGAGUGAACAAUAUAUUGCUUUUUGUUUUAUUGUAGAUGUGUGUAUUGCAGUAUGAAAUAAGGAGUUUAUAAUGGUAUAUACUGGGUUGUUUCUUUAGUAUAUAGAAGCAAAUGGGAAAUAUAUCCAAUUUGGACCUGAUAUCAAACAAGAUUACCCGCUGAACUUAAGCAUAUCAAAAGGCGGAGGAAA
rnacentral:rRNA from 1 species